rnacentral:rRNA from 1 species
AUUGAACGCUGGCGGCAGGCCUAACACAUGCAAGUCGAGCGGUAGAGAGGUGCUUGCAUCUCUUGAGAGCGGCGGACGGGUGAGUAAUGCCUAGGAAUCUGCCUAGUGGUGGGGGAUAACGUUCGGAAACGGACGCUAAUACCGCAUACGUCCUACGGGAGAAAAGCGGGGGAUCUUCGGACCUCGCGCCAUUAGAUGAGCCUAGGUCGGAUUAGCUAGUUGGUGAGGUAAUGGCUCACCAAGGCGACGAUCCGUAACUGGUCUGAGAGGAUGAUCAGUCACACUGGAACUGAGACACGGUCCAGACUCCUACGGAGGCAGCAGUGGGGAAUAUUGGACAAUGGGCGAAAGCCUGA